rnacentral:rRNA from 1 species
AGUGAACGCUGGCGGUAGGCCUAACACAUGCAAGUCGAACGGCAGCACAGUAAGAGCUUGCUCUUACGGGUGGCGAGUGGCGGACGGGUGAGGAAUACAUCGGAAUCUACUUUUUCGUGGGGGAUAACGUAGGGAAACUUACGCUAAUACCGCAUACGACCUACGGGUGAAAGCAGGGGAUCUUCGGACCUUGCGCGAUUGAAUGAGCCGAUGUUGGAUUAGCUAGUUGGCGGGGUAAAGGCCCACCAAGGCGACGAUCCGUAGCUGGUCUGAGAGGAUGAUCAGCCACACUGGAAGUGAGACACGGUCCAGACUCCUACGGGAGGCAACAGUGGGGAAUAUUGGACAAUGGGCGCAAGCCUGAUCCAGCCAUACCGCGUGGGUGCAGAAGGCCUUCGGGUUGUAAAGCCCUUUUGUUGGGAAAGAAAAGCAUCAGCUUAAUACCCCGCUGUUCUGACGGUACCCAAAGAAUAAGCCCCGGCUAACUUCGUG